rnacentral:rRNA from 1 species
UACGUAGGUGGCAAGCGUUGUCCGGAUUUACUGGGCGUAAAGGAUGCGUAGGCGGACAUUUUAAGUCAGAUGUGAAAUACCCGAGCUUAACUUGGGUGCUGCAUUUGAAACUGGGUGUCUAGAGUGCAGGAGAGGUAAGUGGAAUUCCUAGUGUAGCGGUGAAAUGCGUAGAGAUUAGGAGAACACCAGUGGCGAAGGCGACUUACUGGACUGUAACUGACGCUGAGGCAUGAAAGCGUUGGGGGAGCAAACAGG